rnacentral:lncRNA from 1 species
UCCCCCAAUUGAUUCAUUUAUUCUGAUUUAAAUAUUAUUGUUUAUCAUUCAUUUGAUUUGCCUUUGAUUCCUAACCUAUACGAGCCAAUUUUUUUUUUUGGAUCAUAACUUCUGGAACUGUUUUAUAUAUUGAGGAGUGGACUCUUGGAUCUAAGAAGUUGACUCAUGAAUUCUAGAGUGAACUCUUAGUUUUACUAGAGUUGACCCCUCU